rnacentral:rRNA from 1 species
UACAGAGGUGGCAAGCGUUGUUCGGAAUUACUGGGCGUAAAGGGCGCGUAGGCGGUCUUGUAAGUCCCGUGUGAAAUCCCUCGGCUCAACUGAGGAACUGCACGGGAAACUGCUUGGCUUGAGUUCGGGAGAGGGAAGCGGAAUUCCGGGUGUAGCGGUGGAAAUGCGUAGAUAUCCGGAGGAACACCAGUGGCGAAGGCGGCUCACUGGCCCGGUACUGACGCUCAUGUGCGAAAGCGUGGGGAGCAAACAGG